UACGGAGGGUGCAAGCGUUAUCCGGAUUUACUGGGUUUAAAGGGUGCGUAGGUGGGCUGGUAAGUCAGUGGUGAAAUACUUUCGCUUAACGAAGGAACUGCCAUUGAUACUAUCAAUCUUGAAUGUAGUGGAGGUAGGCGGAAUGCGUCAUGUAGCGGUGAAAUGCUUAGAUAUGACGCAGAACACCAAUUGCGAAGGCAGCUUGCUACACUACUAUUGACACUGAGGCACGAAAGCGUGGGGAUCAAACAGG
rnacentral:rRNA from 1 species